rnacentral:rRNA from 1 species
AUACGGAGGAUGCGAGCGUUAUCCGGAUUUAUUGGGUUUAAAGGGAGCGUAGGCGGGAGCUUAAGUCAGCGGUUAAAUGGUGCGGCUCAACCGUGCCCUGCCGUUGAAACUGGGUUUCUUGAGAGUGCAAGAGGCGGAUGGAAUUCAUGGUGUAGCGGUGCAAUGCUUAGAUAUCAUGAAGAACUCCGAUUGCGAAGGCAGUCCGCUGGGGCACGUCUGACGCUGAUGCUCGAAGGUGCGGGAAUCAAACAGGAUUAGAUACCCUGGUAGUCCGCACGGUAAACGAUGAUUACCCGCUGUCGGCGGCAGACAGUCGGCGGCCAAGCGAAAGCGAUAAGUAAUCCACCUGGGGAGUACGCCGGCAACGGUGAAACUCAAAGGAAUUGACGGGG